rfam:Hordeum vulgare subsp. vulgare, WGS project CAJW01000000 data, contig: morex_contig_2644023
AGGCAGCCUCUUUGCCAUUGCAGUGGCAUUGGAGGUGUUGCGUUGCUCGGAUAGUAAACCUUUUGCUGUUUGGAUUGGCUGAGAGGGUGGCUCCUGCU